UACGGAGGGGGCGAGCGUUAUUCGGAAUUAUUGGGCGUAAAGGGCGCGUAGGCGGCCCGGUAAGUCAAAGGUGAAAUCCCUCGGCUCAACUGAGGAACUGCCUUUGAAACUGUCGGGCUUGAGGCCGGGAGGGGGUAGCGGAAUUCCCAGUGUAGCGGUGAAAUGCGUAGAUAUUGGGAAGAACACCGGUGGCGAAGGCGCUCUGCUAGGCCGUAACUGACACUGAGGGACGAAAGCUAGGGGAGCGAAUGGG
rnacentral:rRNA from 1 species